AGUGAACGCUGGCGGCGUGCCUAAUACAUGCAAGUCGAACGCGAAAGUCCUUCGGGAUGAGUAAAGUGGCGCACGGGUGAGUAAUACAUGGGAACAUGCCCUUGGAUGGGGAAUAACGUUUGGAAACGAACGCUAAUACCGCAUAAUCCCGCGAGAGUAAAGGUGGCGCCGCAAGGGCUACCGUCCAAGGAUUGGCCCAUGUCCCAUUAGCUAGUUGGCGGGGUAAUGGCCCACCAAGGCAACGAUGGGUAACUGGUCUGAGAGGAUGAUCAGUCACACUGGAACUGAGACACGGUCCAGACUCCUACGGGAGGCAGCAGUAGGGAAUAUUGCACAAUGGGGGAAACCCUGAUGCAGCAACGCCGCGUGAGUGAAGAAGGCCCUUGGGUUGUAAAGCUCUUUAGCGUGGGAAGAAGGUAGAUAUGGUGAACAACCAUGUUUGCUGACGGUACCACGAGAAUAAGCACCGGCUAAUUUCGUGCCAGCCGCCGCGGUAAAAC
rnacentral:rRNA from 1 species